GUUGUAAUUUGCAGAGGAUGCUUCGGGUGCAGCCCCCGUCUAAGUGCCCUGGAACGGGCCGUCAUAGAGGGUGAGAAUCCCGUCUGGGACGGGGUGUCUGCGUCCGUGUGAAGCUCCUUCGAAGAGUCGAGUUGUUUGGGAAUGCAGCUCUAAAUGGGUGGUAAAUUUCAUCUAAAGCUAAAUACUGGCCGGAGACCGAUAGCGCACAAGUAGAGUGAUCGAAAGAUGAAAAGCACUUUGAAAAGAGAGUUAAACAGCACGUGAAAUUGUUGAAAGGGAAGCGUUUGCGACCAGACUCGCCCGCGGGGUUCAGCCGGCAUUCGUGCCGGUGUACUUCCCCGUGGGCGGGCCAGCGUCGGUUUGGGCGGCCGGUCAAAGGCCCUCGGAAUGUAUCACCUCUCGGGGUGUCUUAUAGCCGAGGGUGCAAUGCGGCCUGCCCGGACCGAGGAACGCGCUUCGGCUCGGACGCUGGCGUAAUGGUCGUAAAUGACCCGUCUUGAAACACGGACCAAGGAGUCUAACAUCUACGCGAGUGUUCGGGUGUCAAACCCGUACGCGCAGUGAAAGCGAACGGAGGUGGGAGCCCCCUCGUGGGGCGCACCAUCGACCGAUCCUGAUGUCUUCGGAUGGAUUUGAGUACGAGCGUAGCUGUGGGGACCCGAAAGAUGGUGAACUAUGCCUGAAUAGGGCGAAGCCAGAGGAAACUCUGGUGGAGGCUCGCAGCGG
rnacentral:rRNA from 1 species